AACAUGAGAGUUUGAUUCUGGCUCAGAACGAACGCUGGCGGCAUGCCUAACACAUGCAAGUCGAACGAAGCCUUCGGGCUUAGUGGCGCACGGGUGCGUAACGCGUGGGAAUCUGCCCUUGGGUACGGAACAACAGUUAGAAAUGACUGCUAAUACCGUAUGAUGUCUUCGGACCAAAGAUUUAUCGCCCAGGGAUGAGCCCGCGUUGGAUUAGGUAGUUGGUGGGGUAAAGGCCUACCAAGCCGACGAUCCAUAGCUGGUCUGAGAGGAUGAUCAGCCACACUGGGACUGAGACACGGCCCAGACUCCUACGGGAGGCAGCA
rnacentral:rRNA from 1 species